AGUGAACGCUGGCGGUAGGCCUAACACAUGCAAGUCGAACGGCAGCACAGUAAGAGCUUGCUCUUACGGGUGGCGAGUGGCGGACGGGUGAGGAAUACAUCGGAAUCUACUUUUUCGUGGGGGAUAACGUAGGGAAACUUACGCUAAUACCGCAUACGACCUACGGGUGAAAGCAGGGGAUCUUCGGACCUUGCGCGAUUGAAUGAGCCGAUGUCGGAUUAGCUAGUUGGCGGGGUAAAGGCCCACCAAGGCGACGAUCCGUAGCUGGUCUGAGAGGAUGAUCAGCCACACUGGAACUGAGACACGGUCCAGACUCCUACGGGAAGCAGCAGUGGGGAAUAUUGGACAAUGAGCGCAAGCCUGAUCCAGACAUACCGCGUAGGUGAAGAAGGCCUUCGGGUUGUAAAGCCCUUUUGUUGGGAAAGAAAAGCAGCAGGUUAAUACCCCGCUGUUCUGACGGUACCCAAAGAAUAAGCACCGGCUAACUUCGUG
rnacentral:rRNA from 1 species